UACGGGGGGGGGCAAGCGUUGUUCGGAAUUACUGGGCGUAAAGGGCGCGUAGGCGGCCUUCUAAGUCGAACGUGAAAUCCCCGGGCUCAACCCGGGAACUGCGUCCGAUACUGGAAGGCUUGAAUCCGGGAGAGGGAUGCGGAAUUCCCAGUGUAGCGGUGAAAUGCGUAGAUAUUGGGAGGAACACCAGUGGCGAAGGCGGCUCACUGGACCGGAACUGACGCUGAGGCGCGAAAGCGUGGGGAGCAAACAGG
rnacentral:rRNA from 1 species